UUGGGAAUAUUGCACAAUGGGCGCAAGCCUGAUGCAGCCAUGCCGCGAGUAUGAAGAAUGCCUUCGGGUUGUACAGUACUUUCAGCUGGGAGGAAGGGAGUAAAGUUAAUACCUUUUCUCAUUGACGUUACCCGCAGAAGAAGCACCGGCUAACUCCGUGCCAGCAGCCGCGGUAAUACUGAGGGUGCAAGCGUUAAUCGGAAUUACUGGGCGUAAAGCGCACGCAGGCGGUUUGUUAAGUCAGAUGUGAAAUCCCCGGGCUCAACCUGGGAACUGAAUCUGAUACUGGCAAGCUUGAGUCUCGUAGAGGGGGGUAGAAUUCCAGGUGUAGCGGUGAAAUGCGUAGAGAUCUGGAGGAAUACCGGUGGCGAAGGCGGCCCCCUGGACGAAGACUGACGCUCAGGUGCGAAAGCGUGGGGAGCAAACAGG
rnacentral:rRNA from 1 species